rnacentral:rRNA from 1 species
AUUGAAAGCUGGCGGCAUGCUUAACACAUGCAAGUCGAGCGGGGUGAUGGUGCUUGCACUAUCACUUAGCGGCGGACGGGUGAGUAAUGCUUAGGAAUCUGCCUAUUAGUGGGGGACAACAUCUAGAAAGGGAUGCUAAUACCGCAUACGUCCUACGGGAGAAAGCAGGGGCUCACUUGUGACCUUGCGCUAAUAGAUGAGCCUAAGUCGGAUUAGCUAGUUGGUGGGGUAAAGGCCUACCAAGGCGACGAUCUGUAGCGGGUCUGAGGGGAUGAUUCGCCUAGCUGGGAUGUGACCACGGCCCAGACUCCUAACGGAGGCAGCAGUGGGGAGUAUUGGUCAAUGGGGGGAACCCUGAUCCAGCCAUGCCGCGUGUGUGAAGAAGGCCUUAUGGUUGUAAGGCACUUUAAGCGAGGAGGAGGCUCUUUUGGUUAAUACCCAAGAUGAGUGGACGUUACUCGCAGAAUAAGCACCGGCUAACUCUGUGCCAGCCGCCGCUGUAA